CCUACGGGUGGCAGCAGUGAGGAAUAUUGGUCAAUGGGCGCGAGCCUGAACCAGCCAAGUCGCGUGAGGGAAGACGGUCCUAUGGAUUGUAAACCUCUUUUGUCGGGGAGCAAAAGACGCCACGCGUGGCGUUCCGAGAGUACCCUAAGAACAAGCAUCGGCUAACUCCGUGCCAGCAGCCGCGGUAAUACGGAGGAUGCGAGCGUUAUCCGGAUUUAUUGGGUUUAAAGGGUGCGCAGUGGGAAGAUCAAGUCAGCGGUAAAAUUGAGAGGCUCAACCUCUUCGAGCCGUUGAAACUGGUUGUCUUGAGUGAGUGAGAAGUAGGCGGAAUGCGUGGUGUAGCGGUGAAAUGCAUAGAUAUCACGCAGAACUCCGAUUGCGAAGGCAGCAUACCGGAGCUCAACUGACGCUCAUGCACGAAAGUGUGGGUAUCGAACAGGAUUAGAUACCCGAGUAGUC
rnacentral:rRNA from 1 species